rnacentral:lncRNA from 1 species
UACAACAUACGUCCACAAGGGGUGAGUUAGUCGGACAACGCUACAACAUACGUCCACAAGGGGUGAGUUAGUUGGACAAUGCUACAGCAUACGUCCACAGGGGUGAGUUAGUCGGACAACGCACGUCCACAAGGGGUGAGUUAGUCGGACAACGCUACAACACACGUCCACAAGGGGUGAGUUAGUCUGACAACGCUACAACAUACGUUCACAAGGGGUGAGUUAGUCUGACAACGCUACAACACACGUCCACAAGGGGUGAGUUAGUCGGACAACGCUACCACACACGUCCACAAAGGGUGAGUUAGUCAGACAACGCACGUCCACAAGGGGUGAGUUAGUCGGACAACGCUACAACAUACGCCCACAAAUGGUGAGUUAGUCGGACAAUGCUACAACAUACGUCCACAAGGGGUGAGUUAGUCGGACAACGCACGUCCACAAGGGGCGAGUUAGUCGGACAACGCACGUCCACAAGGGGCGAGUUAGUCGGACAACGCACGUCCACAAGGGGCGAAGUUAGUCGGACAACGCACGUCCACAAGGGGCGAGUUAGUCGGACAACGCACGUCCACAAGGGGCGAGUUAGUCGGACAACGCACGUCCACAAGGGGCGAGUUAGUCGGACAACGCACGUCCACAAGGGGCGAGUUAGUCGGACAACGCACGUCCACAAGGGGCGAAUUAGUCGGACAACGCACGUCCACAAGGGGCGAGUUAGUCGGACAAUGCACGUCCACAAGGGGCGAGUUAGUCGGACAACGCUACAACAUACGUCCACAAGGGGUGAGUUAGUCGGACAACGCACGUCCACAAGGGGUGAGUUAGUCGGACAACGCUACAACAUACGUCCACAAGGGGUGAGUUAGUCGGACAACGCUACAAUAUACGUCCACAAGGGGUGAGUUAGUCGGACAACGCACGUCCAGAAGGGGUGAGUUAGUCGGACAACGCUACAACAUACGUCCACAAGGGGUGAGUUAGUCGGACAACGCUACAACAUACGUCCACAAGGGGUGAGUUAGUCGGACAACGCUACAAUAUACGUCCACAAGGGGUGAGUUAUUCGGACAACGCACGUCCACAAGGGGUGAGUUAGUCGGACAAUGCUACAACAUACGUCCACGAGGGGUGUGUUAGUCGGACAAUGCUACAACAUACGUCCACGAGGGGUGUGUUAGUCGGACAACGCUACAACAUACGCCCACAAAUGGUGAGUUAGUCGGACAACGCUACAACAUACGUCCACAAGGGGCGAGUUAGUCGGACAACGCACGUCCACAAGGGGCGAGUUAGUCGGACAACGCACGUCCACAAGGGGCGAGUUAGUCGGACAACGCACGUCCACAAGGGGUGAGUUAGUCGGACAACGCUACAACACAGGUCCACAAGGGGUGAGUUAGUCUGACAACGCUACAACAUACGUCCACAAGGGGUGAGUUAGUCGGACAACGCUACAACACACGUCCACAAGGGGUGAGUUAGUCGGACAACGCACCUCCACAAGGGGUGAGUUAGUCGGACAACGCACGUCCACAAGGGGUGAGUUAGUCGGACAACGCACGUCCACAAGGGGUGAGUUAGUCGGACAACGCACGUCCACAAGGGGUGAGUUAGUCGGACAACGCUACAACAUACGUCCACAAGGGGUGAGUUAGUCGGACAACGCUACAACAUACGUCCACAAGGGGUGAGUUAGUCGGACAACGCUACAAUAUACGUCCACAAGGGGUGAGUUAGUCGGACAACGCACGUCCACAAGGGGUGAGUUAGUCGGACAACGCACGUCCACAAGGGGUGAGUUAGUCGGACAACGCACGUCCACAAGGGGUGAGUUUGUCGGACAACGCUACAACAUACGCCCACAAGGGGUGAGUUAGUCGGACAACACACGUCCACAAGGGGUGAGUUAGUCGGACAACGCUACAACAUACGUCCACAGGGGGUGAGUUAGUCGGACAACGCACGUCCACAAGGGGUGAGUUAGUCGGACAAUGCUACAACAUACGUCCACAAGGGGUGAGUUAGUCGGACAACGCUACAACAUACGCCCACAAAUGGUGAGUUAGUCGGACAACGCUACAACAUUUGUCCACAAGGGGCGAGUUAGUCGGACAACGCACGUCCACAAGGGGCGAGUUAGUCGGACAACGCACGUCCACAAGGGGCGAGUUAGUCGGACAACGCACGUCCAAAAGGG